GGAUCCAGACUUUGAUUCUGGCUCAGGAUGAACGCUAGCUACAGGCUUAACACAUGCAAGUCGAGGGGAAACGACAUCGAAAGCUUGCUUUUGAUGGGCGUCGACCGGCGCACGGGUGAGUAACGCGUAUCCAACCUGCCCAUCACUUGGGGAUAACCUUGCGAAAGUAAGACUAAUACCCCAAUGAUAUCUCAAGAAGACAUCUGAAUGAGAUUAAAGAUUUAUCGGUGAUGGAUGGGGAUGCGUCUGAUUAGCUUGUUGGCGGGGUAACGGCCCACCAAGGCGACGAUCAGUAGGGGUUCUGAGAGGAAGGUCCCCCACAUUGGAACUGAGACACGGUCCAAACUCCUACGGGAGGCAGCAGUGAGGAAUAUUGGUCAAUGGACGAGAGUCUGAACCAGCCAAGUAGCGUGCAGGAUGACGGCCCUAUGGGUUGUAAACUGCUUUUAUAAGGGAAUAAAGUGAGCCUCGUGAGGCUUUUUGCAUGUACCUUAUGAAUAAGGACCGGCUAAUUCCGUGCCAGCAGCCGCGGUAAUACGGAAGGUCCGGGCGUUAUCCGGAUUUAUUGGGUUUAAAGGGAGCGUAGGCCGGAGAUUAAGCGUGUUGUGAAAUGUAGAUGCUCAACAUCUGCACUGCAGCGCGAACUGGUUUCCUUGAGUACGCACAAAGUGGGCGGAAUUCGUGGUGUAGCGGUGAAAUGCUUAGAUAUCACGAAGAACUCCGAUUGCGAAGGCAGCUCACUGGAGCGCAACUGACGCUGAAGCUCGAAAGUGCGGGUAUCGAACAGGAUUAGAUACCCUGGUGGUCCGCACGGUAAACGAUGGAUGCCCGCUGUUGGUCUGAAUAGGUCAGCGGCCAAGCGAAAGCAUUAAGCAUCCCACCUGGGUAGUACGCCGGCAACGGUGCAACUCAAAGGAAUUGACGG
rnacentral:rRNA from 1 species